rnacentral:rRNA from 1 species
CCUACGGGGGGCAGCAGUGAGGAAUAUUGGUCAAUGGACGAGAGUCUGAACCAGCCAAGUAGCGUGAAGGAUGACUGCCCUAUGGGUUGUAAACUUCUUUUAUAAAGGAAUAAAACGAGGCACGUGUGCCUUUUUGCAUGUACUUUAUGAAUAAGGAUCGGCUAACUCCGUGCCAGCAGCCGCGGUAAUACGGAGGAUCCGAGCGUUAUCCGGAUUUAUUGGGUUUAAAGGGAGCGUAGAUGGGUUGUUAAGUCAGUUGUGAAAGUUUGCGGCUCAACCGUAAAAUUGCAAUUGAUACUGGCAGUCGUGAGUACAGUUGAGGUAGGCGGAAUUCGUGGUGUAGCGGUGAAAUGCUUAGAUAUCACGAAGAACCCCGAUUGCGAAGGCAGCUUACUAAACUGUGACUGACAUUGCUGCUCGAAAGUGUGGGUAUCAAACAGGAUUAGAUACCCUAGUAGUC